AGGCGACCGCUGUUGGAGUUCGAUUAAGCCAUGCGAGUAGAAUGAAAUUAGAUUCAUUGCAAACUGCUCAGUAACACGUGGGUAACCUGCCCUAUGCUCUGGGAUAAUCUCGGGAAACUGAGAAUAAUACCGGAUAGAUCACAACGCCUGGAACGGUGUGUGGUUGAAAGGUUACGGCAUAGGAUGGGUCUGCGGCGUAUCAGGUCGUAGGGGGUGUAAUGGACCCCCUAGCCAUCGACGCGUACGGGUGUUGGGAGACAUAGCCCGGAGACGGAUUCUGAGACACGAAUCCGGACCCUACGGGGUGCAGCAGGCGCGAAAACUUCACACUGCAGGAAACUGUGAUGAGGGAACUCCAAGUGGAUGCACAUAGUGUAUCUCUUUUCUUUACUAUUAAUCGGUAUUGGAAUAAGGGCUGGGAAAGACCGGUGCCAGCCGCCGCGGUAAUACCGGCAGCUCGAGUGGUCGUCGCUUUUAUUGGGCCUAAAACGUCCGUAGCCUGUUUGGUAAAUCUGUGGGUAAAUCAACCAGCUUAACUGGUUGAAUUCUGCAGAGACUGCGAGACUAGGGACCGGGAGAGGUGUGGGGUACUCUAGGGGUAGGGGUAAAAUCCUGUCAUCCUUAGAGGACCACCAGUUGCGAAGGCGCCACACUAGAACGGAUCCGACGGUCAGGGACGAAGCCUAGGGGCACGAACCGGAUUAGAUACCCGGGUAGUCCUAGGUGUAAACGCUGUGAACUUGGUGUCGGGAGUCCGCAAUGGGCCCCCGGUGCCGGAGUGAAGAUGUUAAGUUCACUUCCUGGGGAGUACGGUCGCAAGGCUGAAACUUAAAGGAAUUGGCGGGGGAGCACUGCAACGCGAGGAGCGUGCGGUUU
rnacentral:rRNA from 1 species